rnacentral:rRNA from 1 species
UCUUUCACAAUGGACGCAAGUCUGAUGGAGCAACGCCGCGAGAGUGAAGAAGGUUUUCUGAUCGUAAAGCCCUGUUGUUGGUGAAGACGGAUAGAGGUAGUAACUGGCCUUUAUUUGACGGUAACCAACCAGAAAGUCACGGCUAACUACGUUCCAGCAGCCGCGGUAAUACGUAGGUGGCAAGCGUUGUCCGGAUUUAUUGGGCGUAAAGCGAGCGCAGGCGGAAGAAUAGGUAUGAUGUGAAAGCCCUCGGCUUAACCGAGGAAUUGCAUCGGAAACUGUUUUUCUUGAGUGCAGAAGAGGAGAGUGGAACUCCAUGUGUAGCGGUGGAAUGCGUAGAUAUAUGGAAGAACACCAGUGGCGAAGGCGGCUCUCUGGUCUGCAACUGACGCUGAGGCUCGAAAGCAUGGGUAGCGAACAG